GGAGCAAAAAAACCCUGAACAGAUAAGAAACUUCUCCAGCGGCAGGAACGUGCCGUCCUGAACGUUUCACUUCUUCCACGCUCGGCCUCUGACGUCUACAGAUAGGAGAUAAUAACUGUAACACUGUUAACCGGAGUCGAUGGGAUGGGGGCAUAACAGACAAUGAACUUUGCAUAGGCAUCCGAGCUAUGUGUAUCAGUGUUUUUUUUUCUCUCCGGAGGCAUCUGUGGUGUCCACAGGUGUGUCGCCAUGGCUCCAAACCAAGGAGGGAGGAUAAGUUGCUGAGUGAGCACAGACAACAGCUACACUGUCUUUCUCAAACGUCUUCAAGGUCCCUGUGGAGGGAUAAAUGGCCGAGAGGAGGUGCCUUCCCAGGAGAGACACAUCUGGAGCUUUAUGGGGCUCCGGCGUGAGGCGACAUGGCAGCAAGGGCUCUUUGCACUCGCUGUUCCUUUUUCCUAUGCAUAUACCUUUUUCAUAUGUAACUUUAAAGAGGUAUAGGGCAUGGGAAAAUGGGGCUGCAGAGGUAUUCCACCGGGCAGACAGCCGUUUCAUCAUCCUCUCCACAUGACAGCUGACCUCAAAGCGCACUCACACACCCACACACCGCGGGCUCUAUGGACUUUACUGUAUAGAGAGAAAGACUGUGAAGCGUAUAUUCUGACACACUGACCGCAGGUGAUUUUUGUUACUCUGUGAUUUGUUUUUCGUGUAACAUCAUAACUCAAAUUUCGUCAUAUUCUUUCAUGAUGUUGUGUGGAAUGAGGUGAUAUUGUUGCAUUAUUGUUCAUUUAAAAAAAUCUGUUUGCUUCUGAAUAAUUGGUUUGCUGUUUUUGAUUUAAUAAAGAAAUCUUGGCAUUAAUACUGGA